rnacentral:rRNA from 1 species
CCUACGGGCGGCAGCAGUGAGGAAUAUUGGUCAAUGGCCGGAAGCCUGAACCAGCCAUGCCGCGUGAAGGUCAGUGCCCUAUGGGCGUUAAACUUCUUUUGUGCGGGAGCAAUAAUGGUCACGUGUGGCCAGACGAGAGUACCGUACGAAUAAGCAUCGGCUAACUCCGUGCCAGCAGCCGCGGUUAUACGGGGGAUGCAAGCGUUAUCCGGAUUUAUUGGGGUUAAAUGGUGCUUAAGCUGUGAGGUAAGUCAGCAGUGGAAUGCCCCCGGUUAAAGGGGUGAAGUGCCAUUGAUACUGCCGUGCUGGAAUGCGGAUGCGGUGGGAGGAAUGUGUGGUGUAGCGGUGAAAUGCAUAGAUAUCACACAGAACACCGAUUGCGAAGGCAGCUCACGAGUCCGCGAUUGACGCUGAUGCACGAAAGCGUGGGUAUCAAACAGGAUUAGAUACCCCUGUAGUC